UAUGGGGUGAGAUAUGGGGUGAGAUAUGGGGGGAGAUAUGGGGUGAGAUAUGGGGGGAGAUAUGGGGUGAGAUAUGGGGUGAGAUAUGGAGUCAGAUAUGGGGUGAGAUAUGGGGUGAGAUAUGGGGUGGGAUAUGGGGUGAGAUAUGGGGUGAUAUAUGGGGUUAUGGGAUAUGGGGUGAGAUAUGGGGUUAUGGGAUAUGGGGUGGGAUAUGGGGGGAGAUAUGGGGUGAGAUAUGGGGUCAGAUAUGGGGUGAGAUAUGGGGUGAGAUAUGGGGUCAGAUAUGGGGUUAUGGGAUAUGGGGUGAGAUAUGGGGUGAGAUAUGGAGUCAUGGGAUAUGGGGUGAGAUAUGGGGUGAGAU
rnacentral:lncRNA from 1 species